rnacentral:misc_RNA from 1 species
AACGCACGAGACCUGCGGACCUGCGGAGGGAUCACUAAUGAGAAGCUGCCCCUCGUGGGUAGACCUCCCACCCUCUGUGAACUUACCUUUGUUGCUUUGGCAGGCCCGUCCUCUGGACCGCCGGCUUCGGCUGGCCCGUGCCUGCCAGAGGAUUCCAAACCCUGUCUGUCAGUGUUGUCUGAGUCUAUAUGAAAUCGUUAAAACUUUCAACAAUGGAUCUCUAGAUCGGAAGAGCACACG